CCAAAGACUACUGCUGUGGAAGAAGAAGAAGAAGAAGAAGAAGAAGAAGAAGAAGAGAAAGAGAGAGAGAGAGAGAAUGCAGCAGUUCCUCAUCACAGCCUUGGAUAAUGACCUCAUUCCGGUCGCCAGAGUUUUGCGAUCGAGGGCAGCAUGAUUGUACAAGAAAGAAGCAGAGCCUGAAAUGAAGAGAAGACGAAAAGGUGUGAGAAUACAGCAAAGGCUUUGAGUGACACAUUUUUGACAUACAGUGGGGAGGCUGAAGUGGAGGACACUGUUUCUAUGGCCUUGCUGAUCCAAGAAUGAAACAAGUGCAUGGCAUUAAACAUCUGUGGUUCAAUUGUUUGAAUCAAUGGAUUACUGUCUGAUCUAUAUGGAAUUGGAACUACAAGAUUUGAAGAACUACUGUAAAAUUAAAUCCUCAUAUUACCCCAAAACUGCAUUGUUAGAUUUUAUUUGAUAAAGUGUUGUCACAUACAGUACAAGCCACAUAUAAGCCUGGUUGCUUUGGAUUUUACUGCCUUUCUAACAAAAUCUGGACUUUUAUAGUCCUGUUAAAACUCCA